UGUUGUUCAAAUGUAGGUACUACGGUAUCAUGUGAUACAGUCAACUGCUUUGUCUAAAUUAAGGAGCAUAGCACAGGAAAGGAAUUGCUUUCAAAACAUUGGAAAACAUCUGAGACCAUCACAGUGUUAAUGGUAGACAGACUAAGCCUAAAACCAUACAAUUAAGACGAGGUUAUGGACAUGACGGAUACUGUUCAACAGCGGUCAAGACAUUUUAUCUUCCUUAUAACUUGAAACAAUUAAGGAUUUCAAAACAUCAGGGAAGUUUCUGGCAUGGCACUUGCAUUUUACAAGGCCAUCCUUUCUCCUUAGCUGUUUGACCAACUUUUGAAACAGGAUGACAUAAAUCUGGGGUGAAAGGUCCAUUGAUGUGUGGUUCUAAUGUGUCCAAGUUCAGCUCUAUUAUCUAUAUAAAAAAAAAAGAAGAAAACUGAAAUGAAUUGUGUAUCAGAUGUCAUUUGUUAUACAGAUAGACAAAUGGCAAACUCAACUUGAACAACACAUAAUGGAAUAAUAAUGGCAAUUUUUAUGCCUGUGAUGUUGACAGAAUGAAAAAUUAAAUACACAUCAAAACUGGAACAGAAGAUCCACAGAUCACAGAGCGCUGGCUAUGGACCUUAAAUUACAUGUAAUUUGUGCACUGGAUACAGAGAAAAGCUCUAAGAUGAUAAACACAAGAAGCAGAAUCUUUUGGUCUGAAGAAAUAUUGACACUGUGGUGAUUUUACUGUUUAACCCUAUUAGUGGCGUUCUCGGAGGCAUUUGAACUACCAAACAAUCAAUUACAGCACAGCUUCUACUUGUGGAGAAUGUGUAUGUGACCUUUCAUACCAAAUAUGCUUAGUAGAAUUGUAAAAUAUUUGUCUCACAGA